GAUGAACGCUGGCGGCGUGCUUAACACAUGCAAGUCGAGCGAAGCACCUAAGAAAGAUUCUUCGGAUGAAUUCUUUUGUGACUGAGCGGCGGACGGGUGAGUGACGCGUGGGUAACCUGCCUCAUACAGGGGGAUAACAGUUAGAAAUGACUGCUAAUACCGCAUAAGACCACGGUACCGCAUGGUACAGAGGUAAAAACUCCGGUGGUAUGAGAUGGACCCGCGUCUGAUUAGCUAGUUGGUGGGGUAACGGCCUACCAAGGCGACGAUCAGUAGCCGACCUGAGAGGGUGACCGGCCACAUUGGGACUGAGACACGGCCCAAACUCCUACGGGAGGCAGCAGUGGGGAAUAUUGCACAAUGGGGGAAACCCUGAUGCAGCGACGCCGCGUGAAGGAUGAAGUAUUUCGGUAUGUAAACUUCUAUCAGCAGGGAAGAAAAUGACGGUAC
rnacentral:rRNA from 1 species